GCACACUUGCACGCAUGCCCGCCUUCCUGGCGCCGCCCAUCUCCCUCCGCGUUGCGCGCUCGCAUGCGGCGUGCCGCCUCUGUCUACUCGGGCUUCUCUCUCCCGUCCUCCGCUCCUCUACCUCAGCUUCCGCUCCUACCCCAAGACAGCGCUCCCUCCUCUCGUUCAAGGCCGGCUAGUGCCUCAAUCCUGCCACUGUCCCCAAGAUCCAUCGUCGAAGAAGCCCGUGAACGUGGAUCUAUCCCCAAGUUCCGCGUCCAAAGGAGCCUGUGACAAGGAGGCCCAGCCGGAGAGCCGCGACGCUGAUCCAUGUCGGUGGAGAAUCUGCGGAGAGCCGGAGACAGAUCACAGGUUGUUCCUCCUGAUCUAGGUUUGGUUUAUGGGGGAAAUCGCCUGGAACCCUAGAGCUGCUUGAGGAAAGGAAGAUCACUAGGGACCGCACCACAUGGAAGGUCGAUGGCGCUGCAGAUGAGGAGGUGUUGCUACUGAAUUUAUCUGACCAUUUGGCACUGGUUCUUCUCAUGUUGGCUCAGAUUUUUCUUUCAGCUUGAAUAUUUUGAUGUCAAUGGUGUAAGUGUGUGCGUGUGGUAACCUGAGAGGCUAAUUUGGCUUAACCAUGUAAAGAAAAUUUCCAAGGAUUAAUACAUGAUCUGUGUAUUUUGAUGUCAAUGUGUAUCAAUUAUUUUGCUGAUGUAAUUAAGACUCACUUAUCCAAGGUUAUGACACUUCUUUGUAUUGUUCACUUAUACAGGUAGUGUAGCAAGUAGCGGCAUGUGCCUUUUCUCUUGAUUUGCCUUUUCUAUUACUGCCCAACAGUCAGGCAAGUUGCUAUUUAUUGUCAUUUUGAGGUAUGGAAUAUGUGAUCUGGUAUUGUCAUUUUUUAAAUGUUAAUCUGAUGCAGAUCGUGCUAUAUCUCAGGUAGACUACAAUUUUACAUAUAGUGCUAUGAAAGACUGGGCUGCUGGAAGAGAAGGAAAUGGUCCAGUUAGAUGAUGCUCUCCCAGAUCCAAAAUUACUACGAGAUGUUGGGCUACUAGGACUCCGGCAAGAACGUUGGCACCUUCACAGCGGCAUGGCAGUAGUCUGCAAAACUCUAAAUCUAGAUUUCUCUACAGUCCUGGCACAGUGUAGUCUUUUUUCGCAACCCUAUUGGCCUAUUUGGAUGGAAUUGAGAUUGUGAAUCUUGUAUUAAAUGAGUGGAUCUUGUUUGAAAAAGUGUGGAUUUGUUUGCUAUUUUGCUGUAUAUAAAAUCAGUGAUCUAAAUUUUAUCUU